CUACUACUCCCUCUCUCUCAAAAUUCUUGUUUUAAAUUUAUCUAGAUAUGAAUGUAUAUCUAGUCAUGUUUUAAUACUUAGAUACAUUCAUUUUUAGACAAACCUAAGACAAGAAUUUUAAGACGGAUGCAGUAUAAG
rfam:Hordeum vulgare subsp. vulgare, WGS project CAJW01000000 data, contig: morex_contig_17000